CCUACGGGAGGCAGCAGUGAGGAAUAUUGGUCAAUGGACGAGAGUCUGAACCAGCCAAGUAGCGUGAAGGAUGACUGCCCUAUGGGUUGUAAACUUCUUUUAUAUGGGAAUAAAAUGUUACACGUGUGGGAUUUCGUAUGUACCAUAUGAAUAAGGAUCGGCUAACUCCGUGCUAGCAGCCGCGGUAAUACAGAGGAUCCGAGCGUUAUCCGGAUUUAUUGGGUUUAAAGGGAGCGUAGGUGGAUUGUUAAGUCAGUUGUGAAAGUUUGGGGCUCAACCGUAAGAUUGCAGUUGAUACUGGCAGUCUUGAGUACAGUAGAGGUGAGCGGAAUUCGUGGUGUAGCGGUGAAAUGCGUAGAUAUCACGAAGAACACCGAAUGCGAAGGCAGCUCACUGGACUGCAACUGACACUGAGGCUCGAAAGUGUGGGUAUCAAACAGGAUUAGAUACCCUAGUAGUC
rnacentral:rRNA from 1 species